rnacentral:rRNA from 1 species
UACGUAGGGUGCGAGCGUUGUCCGGAAUUAUUGGGCGUAAAGGGCUCGUAGGCGGUUUGUCGCGUCGGGAGUGAAUCCACUGGCUUAACUGGUGGCUUGCUUUCGAUACGGGCAGACUGGAGGUAUGCAGGGGAGAACGGAAUUCCUGGUGUAGCGGUGAAAUGCGCAGAUAUCAGGAGGAACACCGGUGGCGAAGGCGGUUCUCUGGGACGGUACUGACGCUGAGACGCGAAAGCGUGGGGAGCGAACAGG